ACCCGCUGAACUUAAGCAUAUCAAUAAGCGGAGGAAAAGAAACCAACAGGGAUUGCCCUAGUAACGGCGAGUGAAGCGGCAACAGCUCAAAUUUGAAAUCUGGCUCUUUUAGAGUCCGAGUUGUAAUUUGCAGAGGGCGCUUUGGCUUUGGCAGCGGUCCAAGUUCCUUGGAACAGGACGUCACAGAGGGUGAGAAUCCCGUACGUGGUCGCUAGCCUUUACCGUGUAAAGCCCCUUCGACGAGUCGAGUUGUUUGGGAAUGCAGCUCUAAAUGGGAGGUAAAUUUCUUCUAAAGCUAAAUACUGGCCAGAGACCGAUAGCGCACAAGUAGAGUGAUCGAAAGAUGAAAAGCACUUUGGAAAGAGAGUUAAAAAGCACGUGAAAUUGUUGAAAGGGAAGCGCUUGCAGCCAGACUUGCCUGUAGUUGCUCAUCCGGGUUUUUACCCGGUGCACUCUUCUAUAGGCAGGCCAGCAUCAGUUUGGGCGGUUGGAUAAAGGUCUCUGUCAUGUACCUCUCUUCGGGGAGAGCUUAUAGGGGAGACGACAUGCAACCAGCCCGGACUGAGGUCCGCGCAUCUGCUAGGAUGCUGGCGUAAUGGCUGU
rnacentral:rRNA from 1 species